rnacentral:rRNA from 1 species
UACGGAGGGGGCUAGCGUUGUUCGGAAUUACUGGGCGUAAAGCGCACGUAGGCGGAUCAGCAAGUUAGGGGUGAAAUCCCGGGGCUCAACCCCGGAACUGCCUUUAAAACUGUUGGUCUGGAGGUCGAGAGAGGUGAGUGGAAUUCCGAGUGUAGAGGUGAAAUUCGUAGAUAUUCGGAGGAACACCAGUGGCGAAGGCGGCUCACUGGCUCGAUACUGACGCUGAGGUGCGAAAGCGUGGGGAGCAAACAGG